AUUGAACGCUGGCGGAAUGCUUUACACAUGCAAGUCGAACGGCAGCACGGACUUCGGUCUGGUGGCGAGUGGCGAACGGGUGAGUAAUGUAUCGGAACGUGCCCAGUCGUGGGGGAUAACGUAGUGAAGAUUACGCUAAUACCGCAUACGAUCUAUGGAUGAAAGCGGGGGAUCGCAAGACCUCGCGCGACUGGAGCGGCCGAUAUCAGAUGAGGUAGUUGGUGGGGUAAAGGCCCACCAAGCCAACGAUCUGUAGCUGGUGUGAGAGGACGACCAGCCACACUGGAACUGAGACACGGUCCAGACUCCUACGGGAGGCAGCAGUGGGGAAUUUUGGACAAUGGGCGGAAGCCUGAUCCAGCCAUUCCGCGUGCAGGAUGAAGGCCCUCGGGUUGUAAACUGCUUUUGUACAGAACGAAAAGGUUUCUACUAAUACUAGGAGCUCAUGACGGUACUGUAAGAAUAAGCACCGGCUAACUACGUGCCAGCCGCCGCGGUAA
rnacentral:rRNA from 1 species